rnacentral:rRNA from 2 species
CUUCGGAUCGUAAAGCUCUGUUGGAGGGAAGAACAAGUACCGUUCGAAUAGGGCGGGACCUUGACGGUACCUAACCAGAAAGCCCGGGAAAACUACGUGCCAGCAGCCGCGGAAAAAG